rnacentral:rRNA from 1 species
UACCCGCAGCACAAGUGGUGGUCAUUAUUAUUGGGCCUAAAGCGUCCGUAGCUGGCGUGUUAGAUGCCUGGGUAAAUCGAUGCGCUCAACGCAUCGAAUUCCGGGUAGACCGGCACGCUCGAGACCGGGAGAGGCGUAGGGUACUCGGGGGGUAGGGGUAAAAUCCUGUAAUCCUCCGGGGACGACCAGUGGCGAAGGCGCUACGCUAGAACGGCUCUGACAGUGAGGGACGAAAGCUAGGGGAGCGAAAGGG